AGAGUUUGAUCAUGGCUCAGAGCGAACGCUGGCGGCAUGCCUUACACAUGCAAGUCGAACGGCAGCACGGGGGCAACCCUGGUGGCGAGUGGCGAACGGGUGAGUAAUACAUCGGAACGUGUCCUGUAGUGGGGGAUAGCCCGGCGAAAGCCGGAUUAAUACCGCAUACGAUCUACGGAUGAAAGCGGGGGAUCUUCGGACCUCGCGCUAGAGGGGCGGCCGAUGGCAGAUUAGCUAGUUGGUGGGGUAAAGGCCUACCAAGGCGACGAUCUGUAGCUGGUCUGAGAGGACGACCAGCCACACUGGGACUGAGACACGGCCCAGACUCCUACGGGAGGCAGCAGUGGGGAAUUUUGGACAAUGGGGGCAACCCUGAUCCAGCAAUGCCGCGUGUGUGAAGAAGGCCUUCGGGUUGUAAAGCACUUUUGUCCGGAAAGAAAACCUCUGGGUUAAUACCCCGGGGGGAUGACGGUACCGGAAGAAUAAGCACCGGCUAACUACGUGCCAGCAGCCGCGGUAAUACGUAGGGUGCGAGCGUUAAUCGGAAUUACUGGGCGUAAAGCGUGCGCAGGCGGUUCGUUAAGACAGAUGUGAAAUCCCCGGGCUUAACCUGGGAACUGCAUUUGUGACUGGCGGGCUAGAGUAUGGCAGAGGGGGGUAGAAUUCCACGUAGCAGUGAAAUGCGUAGAGAUGUGGAGGAAUACCGAUGGCGAAGGCAGCCCCCUGGGCCAAUACUGACGCUCAUGCACGAAAGCGUGGGGAGCAAACAGGAUUAGAUACCCCAGUAGUCC
rnacentral:rRNA from 1 species